AACGAACGCUGGCGGCGUGGAUAAGACAUGCAAGUCGAACGGGACAUGCUUUGUAGCAAUACAGAGUAUGUUCAGUGGCGCAAGGGUGAGUAACACGUGGGCAAUCUGCCGGGAAAUGGGGGAUAGCUUGCCGAGAGGCAAAUUAAUACCGCAUGUGGCUAGGGAGGACAUCCUCCUAAUGCUAAAGUCGGGGCAACCUGACGUUUCCUGAUGAGCCCGCGGCCUAUCAGCUAGUUGGUAAGGUAACGGCUUACCAAGGCUAUGACGGGUAGCUGGUCUGAGAGGACGACCAGCCACACUGGAACUGAGACACGGUCCAGACACCUACGGGUGGCAGCAGUCGAGAAUUUUUCUCAAUGGGGGAAACCCUGAAGGAGCGACGCCGCGUGGAGGAUGAAGGUUUUCGGAUUGUAAACCCCUGUCAUGAGGGAGCAAUGCUGCGGGGAGUAACUGCCCUGUAGUUGAUAGUACCUCAAGAGGAAGGGACGGCUAACUCUGUGCCAGCAGCCGCGGUAAUACAGAGGUCCCAAGCGUUGUUCGGAUUCAUGGGGCGUAAAGGGUGCGUAGGCUGCGCCAUAAGUAGGAUGUGAAAUC
rnacentral:rRNA from 1 species